rnacentral:rRNA from 1 species
UACAGAGGUCUCAAGCGUUGUCCGGAUUUAUUGGGCGUAAAGAGCGUGUAGGCGGCCAGGUAGGUCUGCUGUGAAAACUCGAGGCUUAACCUCGAGCUGUCGGCGGAAACUAUUUGGCUAGAGUCCGGAAGAGGAGAAUGGAAUUCCCGGUGUAGCGGUGAAAUGCGCAGAUAUCGGGAAGAACACCCGUGGCGAAGGCGGUUCUCUGGGACGGUACUGACGCUGAGACGCGAAAGCGUGGGGAGCGAACAGG